AUUUUAUUUGCAGAAGCACUUCGUUCCUUUGUGUCAGUGACAGUCUUCUUCACUUGCAGGUGCUGUCAGAUGCACGAUUGCUGUUACAGCCGCUUGCUCAGGAUGAAGUGCUAUCCUCUGACUCAGCCUUAUGAAUUCUCCCUCUUCAAUGGGACCAUUACGUGUGAUGAUGAGGAUUUUUACGGGUGCGCAAGGCAGAGCUGCGAGUGUGACCGGGCGGCCGCCGAAUGCUUCGAGAACUUCAAUGACCAAUAUUCCAUAAAAAACAGCUACAACCUCCUUAGGUUAAACUGUUUGAGGAUCCAGCUGCCGUGUUAGAGCUGAAGCUGCGCGGACCCCGAAAAUGUACACUCUGUAUAAUAAACAUUCGUGAUACUGGA